rnacentral:miRNA from 1 species
CAACCAUUGGAAUUUCUCUAUU